AAUGCUGUCAUGGUGGGUGAUUUGGUUGUGUUUGAGAAAACGUCUCGUUAAUUAUAUCGUGAUGGAAAGCAAGUGAAAAACUAUAAAUAUUUGAACUAGAUCUAACAAAGAUUUAUAUUUUUAUUAAAAUAAUUGUUUCUCAAAUAGCUCUUUGCAUCCGUGACAGCUGUUUAUUCUGGACAAUUAUAUGAUUUUUAAUGUAAACUUUGUUGUACGAACGUACAUGACUUUUAGAACGCACCUACGCAUGUGAGGUUUCCGCAGGGUUUUGGUGAAUGUAAACAGAAAGAUACGAGGACCGAGAAUACUGAACACAGAG
rnacentral:lncRNA from 1 species